rnacentral:rRNA from 1 species
AGAACGAACGCUGGCGGCAUGCCUAAUACAUGCAAGUCGAACGAACUCUUCGGAGUUAGUGGCGCACGGGUGCGUAACGCGUGGGAACCUGCCCUUGGGUUCGGAAUAACAGUUGGAAACGACUGCUAAUACCGGAUGAUGACGAAAGUCCAAAGAUUUAUCGCCCAGGGAUGAGCCCGCGUAGGAUUAGCUAGUUGGUGAGGUAAAGGCUCACCAAGGCGACGAUCCUUAGCUGGUCUGAGAGGAUGAUCAGCCACACGU